GAGCGCGCGGUCGAAGUAUGAGAGAUGACAAAAUGUUGUUUUAAGGAAGUAAAGUGAGACAUUUCUAACAAGAUGUUAGAAACACUGAGGCCUAAGAAGAGCUGUAUUAGCGCUGCUAACUUUUAAAGUUACUUUGGAAGUUACAGGAAGAGAAGUUGUCAGAGAAACGCCGACGGGCGUUUCCUCAAUUAAGUGGCUCUUCCUGUGGCGCUGCCUCACCUGGUUGGAUUUCCACUGCUGCAUGUGAAUGUCCUCCUCUCAUCCGGACACUGACAUCCUGGUAUUGUGCCAUUCAAAGGAGGGAGUGUGUGAUGUGCAACGAGAAGACCAACACAGGACACCACACACUAACAGAUUCUGUUCAUCGACAACCAGAGUCUUGACUUUUAAAACAAACUGGAAGAGAUAAUGGACGAUGGAGGAUCACAUCGAUUCAGAGCUGAGACCUCAUAAUGAACGCACACAUACACACACAAACACACAGUGUUAUUUGGUCUGAGUGAGUCACGCUGAUAGCACUUAGCAUGGCUUUCCAAGUUAAGGCUGUUGUGAGUAAUACAUGUUUAGGUGUGACAGACACGAGAAGGAAAGCAGUCAGAAUGAGAUACAGAGGUCCUCUUUUACCCUGCACAUUGUUAAGCAUUUGAACACAGAAUACCACAUUAUAACUAUUUCUGUUAAUUAGAAAUGAACCUGUAACUGUAUUUUUGGACUUGGGUCUAGGGACAAAAAUCUUUGGAGCAGAUGCAGUAUUGAGCAAGAACAGUGAACCUGGCAACUGAAAACUGCUGCUGCAACGUAAUCCAACUGUGUCAAAGUAUGUUCACUGAAGUGCUAGUCUUUACCACUGGGAAAAUAAGGCCCAGGUUCAAAAAUACCAGAAAUAUUCUUUAACAUUUCUCUCAGUUAAAAUGAUCAUGAAAUAAACAGUAAAAAGUGGGUUUAGCUACAUCUUGCUGUGGUCAGAAGAUUUUUGUAAAUUCUGUGUUUUAGCUUAAAGGAUUACAUUCUCCUCCUCUUUGGGUUCAAGGAAAUUUUAUAACCCACUGGCUUGUAAAACCUGUCCAAGAUCAAGUGGUCAAAUUAAUCGUUCAUCGUCAUCGCUCCGUAAACAUGGCUUUUUUGUGGGCACCAGGAAGAACAUUUCAGAGAUGCUUUUCCCGUAACAGUGUUAGGAUGUCUUCACUUUGAUUAAAGCUUCCUUUUUCCUCUUAAAUUAAUACUCAGACAUAAAUUGGUUAUUUGCACUUCUUAAACCAAAAAUUUCCAAAAUGUCAGCUUUUUAGAACCCGACCCGGAGACAGUGAAUGUUUUUUGUUUUUUAUCUAUGCCGUCUUUAUUGCCACCACUAAUGAGGUAGCGAUACGAGGCUGACAUUUGUGAGAAAUUAAAGUAUUUUGGUGUAUUGUGGCUAACAUUAUAUUUUUUGCAUAGGUUGGCGAAAGGUUAACACUAUUUAAAAGGUUGACUAUAUAACUGCAUAUUCAGAAUCAUUUCCAUACAACCCUGUGUUGUCCCAGUUAGUUAACUUGGAGCUGUCAUUUGGAUGUUGCGUGGUGCAGUCAUUUCAACUUUCUUCAUUCAGCCUAAGGAUGAGGUUUUGUUCACGUCCAGUGCAACACUAAUAAACUGUCUCUAUGGGUGACUUUUGAGGAAGCUGCAGUGAUGUGAGUGAUGUGAUGUGUCAUUUUGUGCCACAUCAUAAGCUCCAUUCAGACAAGAUUAGUGUCUGUAGGGGAGGUCAGGUAAUUUCAUUUCUGCAGCAGUGAUGUUAAUCCCUGUCCGGAUCGGCCGUGUCUGUUUUUCACCUUCAGUCCUCAAGACACUUCAGCUCCAAACACCUGCUGUGUGCUGAUAAACUCAAAAACUGCUCCUGUUAUAGUUGUUCCAUCAUGUCUUGAUGAUGGAAGGACACGCAGUCAGCUGGACACCAAUACUGUAUAUACAGACAUGUAUAUACUACUAAUUUAUUCUGCCAUUUAAAUUGUGAUGGAAAACAAACUGCUCUCUGGAUUGUUUUUAUCUUAAGACCUGCAUCCCUUCUAAGAAAUAUUUCAUGUGUCAUGCAUAUUCAAAAAUGCAGGUUAUCCGUACAGCUCUAGCCUGACACAACUAGAAGGGGCAUAGGCAACCAGUUUAAUAAUCUCUUUCAGCACAAAAAGAACAAAAACGUUUGCUGUUUUAAGCUGAGUCUGAGGCCAUGGUUCUCUAUCCUAAGAUGGUGGAUUGCUCUCUCUGGGUUGGGGGUGGGUUGCUGCACGAGGCGAAGGAAUUUAAAUAUCUCAGGGUCUUGUUCAUGAGUAAUGGUAAAAUGGAGAGCAAGAUGGACAGAGGAUUGGUGUAGCAUUAGCAGUGAUGAAGAUGUAGCUGAGCUGGUUGAUCUAUGUUCCAGCCCUCACCUAUGGUCAUUUGUGUAGUGACAAAACAAUUGAGAUUGUGGUUACAAGGGGUUUCAAUCAGUUUCCUCUGUGGGGUAUCUGUGCUCAGCUUUAGAAAAUUCCUGUUGAGGUGGUUCCAGCAUGUAAAAUCUAUUUGAUAUAUUUGCAUUAUAUUAAGCCUCUCUGUGCUGGUUUUGAAUCCUGAAUCCAGCCUGUGUCUGUUUGAGAAAUGAAAGAAAUGACCUAGCCAACUAGCACUGGUACCAAAUGUUGAUACCAGAAUCUGUCAAAGAGUAUAUACAGUGUAUUCAUGCUCUAUUUUUGAUCUAUAAUUUACACCUAGCUUGCCAGGCUCUUACAAAGCAUUGGUUGCACUCUUUAUUUUUCCUUCCAUACAGCUGAUUUUAAUUCCCACUCAGACGCCUAUGCUGUGUGAAUGAGAUGAGACAGAAAAACUCUGUACAUUUUUCUGUCUUUACAUUAAUUCAGACUGAGAAUCAAAGAGUUUUAGUUCAUAUGGAGGGCACCAGUCUUUCAUCUGCAUGAUCAAAAGACAUCUUAUGUAAACUUGCAUUUACUGUAUAACUAGUGUAUGUGAGUGGACGUGCUUCUGUGCAUCUACUGUACAUGUCUGUACAGUGUGUGUGUGUAUAUACAUACAUGCUUAAGGGCUGUUUGUACAGUAAAUGUGUUAUGUCACAACUGUGCUGAAGUACAGUACAGUAUUUUCCUGUGAAUGACAAUGCAUGUGUAUAUUCUUUGAAAACAUCUGUGCUGUUGUGUGAGGGGUUAGUCACUGUUGUGGUUCAUUGUGAGGUAAAUUUCAUGUUUAAGGAAAUUUUCUGUUUGGGGAGUUUGCUAAGAUUUAGACAGAUGACAGUUGUGAGUUAACAUCAUUUUAAAUAUAUUUACUUGUACACGUGACAUAUCAGUAAAAUGAAAUACUUUAAGAAGUUUUAAAUCUGUAGCUUCUAAGUUCAAUCGUAUGAUGCUUUUGAUCUUUUAAAAAGCGUUUAUCAAUUUUUGACCACUAGAGGGGAGCAGAGCUCCAUAACAAGCUGGUAGACGAAGAGAUAAUAUCAUUUCAUGAAGAUUAAACAUUAAACACAGAACAACAUUUUUGACAAAGAUCCGGUCUCCAGCAGCUAAGGAGCUUCCUUCCCAAGCUAAUUGCUCAAUUUG